rnacentral:rRNA from 1 species
GGACCCGCACAAGCGGUGGAGCAUGUGGUUUAAUUCGAAGCAACGCGAAGAACCUUACCAAAUCUUGACAUCCUCUGACCCCUCUAGAGAUAGAGUUUUCCCCUUCGGGGGACAGAGUGACAGGUGGUGCAUGGUUGUCGUCAGCUCGUGUCGUGAGAUGUUGGGUUAAGUCCCGCAACGAGCGCAACCCUUAAGCUUAGUUGCCAUCAUUAAGUUGGGCACUCUAAGUUGACUGCCGGUGACAAACCGGAGGAAGGUGGGGAUGACGUCAAAUCAUCAUGCCCCUUAUGAUUUGGGCUACACACGUGCUACAAUGGACAAUACAAAGGGUAGCGAAACCGCGAGGUCAAGCAAAUCCCAUAAAGUUGUUCUCAGUUCGGAUUGUAGUCUGCAACUCGACUAUAUGAAGCUGGAAUC